rnacentral:rRNA from 1 species
AGAGUUUGAUCCUGGCUCAGAUUGAACGCUGGCGGUAUGCUUUACACAUGCAAGUCGAACGGCAGCACGGGGCAACCUGGUGGCGAGUGGCGAACGGGUGAGUAACAUAUCGGAACAUGUCCGGAAGUGGGGGAUAACGUACCGAAAGGUACGCUAAUACCGCAUAUGCCCUGAGGGGGAAAGGGGGGGAUCGCAAGACCUCUCGCUUUCGGAGUGGCCGAUAUCGGAUUAGCUAGAUGGUGAGGUAAAGGCUCACCAUGGCGACGAUCCGUAGCUGGUCUGAGAGGACGACCAGUCACACUGGAACUGAGACACGGUCCAGACUCCUACGGGAGGCAGCAGUGGGGAAUUUUGGACAAUGGGCGCAAGCCUGAUCCAGCCAUACCGCGUGAGUGAAGAAGGCCUUCGGGUUGUAAAGCUCUUUCAGCCGGAAAGAAAUCGCACUGGUUAAUACCUUGUGUGGAUGACGGUACCGGAAGAAGAAGCACCGGCUAACUACGUGCCAGCAGCCGCGGUAAUACGUAGGGUGCGAGCGUUAAUCGGAAUUACUGAGCGUAAAGCGUGCGCAGGCGGUUUUGUAAGACAGACGUGAAAUCCCCGGGCUUAACCUGGGAACUGCGUUUGUGACUGCAAGGCUAGAGUGUAGCAGAGGGGGGUAGAAUUCCACGUGUAGCAGUGAAAUGCGUAGAUAUGUGGAGGAAUACCGAUGGCGAAGGCAGCCCCCUGGGCUAACACUGACGCUCAUGCACGAAAGCGUGGGGAGCAAACAGGAUUAGAUACCCUGGUAGUCCACGCCCUAAACGAUGUCAACUAGGUGUUGGGGAAGGAGACUUCUUUAGUACCGCAGCUAACGCGAUAAGUUGACCGCCUGGGGAGUACGGUCGCAAGAUUAAAACUCAAAGGAAUUGACGGGGACCCGCACAAGCGGUGGAUUAUGUGGAUUAAUUCGAUGCAACGCGAAAAACCUUACCUGGGCUCGAACGACUGGAAGUAAAAUCGAUGAAAGUCGAGAUGGCCUGUAAAGUCAGGAACCAGCCGAGGUGCUGCAUGGUUGUCGUCAGCUCGUGUCGUGAGAUGUUGGGUUAAGUCCCGCAACGAGCGCAACCCCCAUCUCCUGUUGCCAACCCGCAAGGGCGCACUCUGGAGAAACUGCCCACGAUGAGUGGGAGGAAGGUGGGGAUGACGUCAAAUCACCAUGGCCCUUAUGUCCAGGGCUACACACGUACCACAAUGGCCGAUACAAUGGGACGCAAUACAGCAAUGUGGAGCAAAUCCCCUAAAAUCGGCCCCAGUUCAGAUUGUGGGCUGCAACUCGUCCACAUGAAGGCGGAAUCGCUAGUAAUCGCGAAUCAGAAGGUCGCGGUGAAUACGUUCCCGGGUCUUGUACACACCGCCCGUCAC